CCGGGAUAGCUCAGCUGGUAAAGCAAAGGACUGAAAA
rnacentral:tRNA from 1 species